rnacentral:rRNA from 1 species
UACGUAGGGGGCAAGCGUUAUCCGGAUUUACUGGGUGUAAAGGGAGCGUAGACGGCGAUGCAAGCCAGAUGUGAAAGCCCGGGGCUCAACCCCGGGACUGCAUUUGGAACUGUCGUGCUAGAGUGUCGGAGAGGCAGGCGGAAUUCCUAGUGUAGCGGUGAAAUGCGUAGAUAUUAGGAGGAACACCAGUGGCGAAGGCGGCCUGCUGGACGAUGACUGACGUUGAGGCUCGAAAGCGUGGGGAGCAAACAGG